GACGAACGCUGGCGGCGUGCCUAAUACAUGCAAGUAGAACGCUGAAGCUUGGUGCUUGCACCGAGCGGAUGAGUUGCGAACGGGUGAGUAACGCGUAGGUAACCUGCCUGGUAGCGGGGGAUAACUAUUGGAAACGAUAGCUAAUACCGCAUAAAAUGGAUUAUCGCAUGAUAAUCGAUUGAAAGGUGCAAAUGCAUCACUACCAGAUGGACCUGCGUUGUAUUAGCUAGUUGGUGGGGUAACGGCUCACCAAGGCGACGAUACAUAGCCGACCUGAGAGGGUGAUCGGCCACACUGGGACUGAGACACGGCCCAGACUCCUACGGGAGGCAGCAGUAGGGAAUCUUCGGCAAUGGACGGAAGUCUGACCGAGCAACGCCGCGUGAGUGAAGAAGGUUUUCGGAUCGUAAAGCUCUGUUGUAAGAGAAGAACGAGUGUGAGAGUGGAAAGUUCACACUGUGACGGUAUCUACCA
rnacentral:rRNA from 1 species